AUUGAACGCUGGCGGCAGGCUUAACACAUGCAAGUCGAGCGGGGGAAGGUAGCUUGCUACCGGACCUAGCGGCGGACGGGCGAGUAAUGCUUAGGAAUCUGCCUAUUAGUGGGGGACAACAUCUCGAAAGGGAUGCUAAUACCGCAUACGUCCUACGGGAGAAAGCAGGGGAUCUUCGGACCUUGCGCUAACAGAUGAGCCUAAGUCGGAUUAGCUAGUUGGUGGGGUAAAGGCCUACCAGGGCGACGAUCUGUAGCGGGUCUGAGAGGAUGAUCCGCCACACUGGGACUGAGACACGGCCCAGACUCCUACGGGAGGCAGCAGUGGGGAAUAUUGGACAAUGGGGGGAACCCUGAUCCAGCCAUGCCGCGUGUGUGAAGAAGGCCUUAUGGUUGUAAAGCACUUUAAGCGAGGAGGAGGCUACUUUAGUUAAUACCUAGAGAUAGUGGACGUUACUCGCAGAAUAAGCACCGGCUAACUCUGUGCCAGCAGCCGCCGUAA
rnacentral:rRNA from 1 species